rnacentral:rRNA from 1 species
CAGCCGCCACGGGAAUACGGAGGGUGCAAGCGUUAAUCGGAAUUACUGGGCGUAAAGCGCACGCAGGCGGUCUGUCAAGUCGGAUGUGAAAUCCCCGGGCUCAACCUGGGAACUGCAUUCGAAACUGGCAGGCUAGAGUCUUGUAGAGGGGGGUAGAAUUCCAGGUGUAGCGGUGAAAUGCGUAGAGAUCUGGAGGAAUACCGGUGGCGAAGGCGGCCCCCUGGACAAAGACUGACGCUCAGGUGCGAAAGCGUGGGGAGCAAACAGGAUUAGAUACCCGGGUAGUCCCUGUCUCUUAUAA